UGUUCCUCCCUGCAGUUUGUCAGCAGUUGUUUCCUAUCACCCACGCUGGAAGUGAAGACAAACAUGGCCUGUGGUUACAGCUGGCGGAGCAGGGGGUGGCAACUUUGUACCUUCAUCCCCUUCAUAUUCCCUUUGCAACUGGUCAGAUGUCACCCCCAGUGCUUGGACUUCAAGCCCCCCUUCCGACCAGCGAACGGCCUUGCAUUCUGUGUUCUCUACAGCGACUUUGGUUGUUGUGACUCUGUCAAAGAUGGAGAAAUCAGGAGCCGCUUCUACAGGAUCAUGGACAACUUUGAUCACUCCCUGUAUGCCACCUGUGGUGUGUAUAUCCGGGACAUCUUGUGUGGGGAAUGUUCCCCAUAUUCUGCUCACUUGUACGAUGCAGAAGACCCGUCAACCCCCGUCAGGCAGUUGCUCGGUCUCUGUGGAGAAUACUGCAUCGAAUUCUGGAAUAAAUGUCAGGCAACUCUGGGCCCCUUAGUGGGAGAAGGAAACCUUCUGGAGCUCGUGUCUAAUAGAAAUAAAUUCUGUGAAGCCUUACAGCUGCAGGACCUCGAUUAUUGCUUCCCGCACGUCUUGAGCAAUAAGAACCUAACUAAAAACCUUGGGGUGGUGAAUCCAGGCUCCGACGGCUGCCUUCAACUGUGUCUGGAGGAAGCAGCCAAUGGUCUUCGCAAUCCUGUCGCUAUGGUGCACGCAAAUGACGGCACUCAUCGUUUCUUCGUCGCAGAGCAGAUCGGCAUCGUCUGGGUUUACCUCCACACCAGGGCCAGGCUAGAGAAACCAUUUCUCAACAUCACUCAUGCGGUUUUAACCUCUCCCUGGGAAGGGGACGAGCGAGGAUUUCUGGGCUUGGCCUUUCAUCCUAAGUACAAAUACACAGGGAAAGUCUACGUCUAUUACUCUGUUGAGUGGCACUUUAAAGAAAAGAUCAGAAUUAGUGAGUUCACCAUUUCUUCCACUGACAUGAACGUGUUGAAUCAUCGUUCUGAGAGGAUCAUUCUGGAAGUGGAUGAGCCAGCGUCAAACCACAAUGGAGGACAGCUCCUCUUUGCCGAUGAUGGCUACCUCUAUAUUUUCACCGGAGACGGUGGAAUGGCUGGGGAUCCUUUUGGGGAAUACGGAAACGCACAAAAUAAGUCAGCCUUACUGGGGAAGGUGCUUCGGAUUGACGUCAACAACAAUAACCGAGGGCCACUCUACAGGAUCCCUCCCGACAACCCGUUUCUCCUUGAUCCGAACGCCCGGCCCGAGGUUUAUGCCUAUGGAGCCCGGAAUAUGUGGCGGUGCUCUGUGGAUCGUGGGGAUCCUCUAACAAAGGAAGGCAAAGGAAGAAUCUUCUGCGGAGAUGUCGGUCAGAACAAGUUCGAGGAGGUGGAUAUCAUUGAGAAAGGCAAAAACUAUGGAUGGAAAGCAAGAGAAGGGUUUUCAUGCUACGAUAAGAAACUCUGUGCAAACUCCUCUCUAAAUGAUGUCCUUCCUAUAUUUGCUUAUCCUCAUAGCGUUGGCAAGUCCGUCACUGGGGGCUACAUUUACAGAGGUUGCGAAUCUCCCAAUCUAAAUGGACUCUACAUAUUUGGAGAUUUCAUGAGUGGACGUCUUAUGGCUUUGGCUGAGGAUUCCAGAACCAGAAAGUGGCAAAAUCAUAAGAUCUGCAUGGGCAAGGGUCAGACAUGUUUUUUCCCAGGACUGCGUAAUCAGUAUCAUCGGUACAUUAUCUCCUUCGCCGAGGAUGAAGCAGGAGAAUUAUACUUCCUAUCCACACGGAUUCCGACGUCCACAUCUCCUACUGGAGUGGUUUACAAAAUAGUUGACCCCUCACGGAGAGCACCACCCGGAAAAUGUCACUACACAUCGCUGCCGGUUAAAGUGAAAAGCCGGCUCAUCAGCUUUGUACCCCGGCCAAGACAGACACACCGGUCCAGGAAAAAGCCAGCCAAGAACAAACCAAGGGGAGAACAGAGGCCAGGGCUCCGGGAGGGGAGCAGCCCAGACUGGUUCCAGGAGCUCCUGAGAACCCUGGAGAGGCUGCAAGCAGAACUGGACGCAGCCACCGAGCAGCCAGCAGCCAGCUCUCCGGUGGGGAGUGCCGAAGCCCGCCCUGGCCCGGGCCGUGACUCGCGGCCUCAGGGCGCGCCUGCCGAGGGGGCGGUGCGCCUUGCCGGGGGGCGGGACCGUGGCAGGGUGGAGCUGUACAUUGGAGGGGUGUGGGGGACGGUGUGCGACGACCUGUGGAACGAGCAGGCUGCUGCGGUGGUGUGCCGCCAGCUGGGGUUCUCCGGUGCCCUCCGGGCCUACCGCAGGGCCGAGUUCGGUGAGGGGAGUGGGCCCAUCCUGCUGGACGACGUGGAGUGCGACGGGAACGAGAGGACCCUCCUCGAGUGCCGUCACUCGGAGAUCGGAGACACCAACUGCUCCCACCGAGAGGAUGCGGGGGUAAUGUGCCUCCCCUCCUAGCCUUGAGUAAUGGCGGGUAGGCCUCAUGCCUGGCCCACACAGGGACACGGGAGACGACGCUGCUCGACCCGCUGAGUUCCUCCCGCAGAGAGACACAAGAGACUGCAGACACUGGAAUCUGGAGCAACAAACGAUCUGCGGGUCGAGCAGCAUCUGUGGAGGGAAAGGAAUUGUCGACGUUUCGGGUCAGAACCCCGCAUCAGGACGCCAGAACACGAAACAGGAGCAAGGGUUCCGAUGCAGGGUUUCAAAGCAAAACGUCGACAAUUCUGCUUGCCACACAGAAGCUGCUCGAGCCACUGAGUUCCUCCAGCAGAUUGUUUGUUGCAUUAACUUGUAAUGCAACCCAUCUGUGACACCACAAUCUUAGAACAGAAUAGUUCUCACUGUCGUUAGUGUGGGGACUGUGGCUAAUAUCAACGGCAGGUGCCUGCAAGUAAUUCCUUUGAAAUUCAUUCUUUUCAAAGAUCCACUACCAUUUUCAAAAUAAUAUUGCGUUUUCAACAUAGUGUACUGUUAACGAGUUCUCAUUUUUGUUCAGUGUUUAAUUUGUUCAAUGCACUCAGUCUUUUUCCCAGGGUUGGGGAAUCAAGAACAAGAAGGAAUAGGUUUAAGGUGAGAGGGGAGAGAUUUAAUUGGAAUCUGAGGGGCAACAUUUUCACCCAGAAGGUGGUCAGUAUAUGGAAUGAGCUGCCAGAGGAAGUGGUUGAGGCAGGUAAAGUCAAAAUCAAAGUGGAGGUUAUUGUCACAUGCACAAGUCCAUGUGUGCACAGGUGCAAUGAAAAACUUACCUGUAGCAGCAUCACAGGCACAGAGCAUCAGGUACACAACAUUCACAAGGAAAACAUGUUAAACAUAAAUUAUACAACAUUUUAUUAAAAUAAGUCCAUAGUAGUGCAAAGUUGCUGUACUGGGGUAGUGAUUAGGGUGGUUUGUUCAAGAACCGAAUGGUUGUAGCUGUUCCUGAACCUGGUGGUGGGAGACUUCAGGCUUCUGUACCUCCUGCCCGAUGGGAGCUGCAUAAACAAAUAUAUUACAUUAUAUAAUACACUAACAUUUAAAAGACAGUUGGACAGGUACGUGGACAGGAAAGGUUUAGAGGGAUAUGGGCCAAACACACAAAAAUGGGACUAGCUCAGAUUGGUAUCUUGGUCGACAUGGAUGAGAUGGGCCGAAGGGCCUGUUUCCGUGCCGUAUGACUCUAUGAGUCUAAUCCCUUGCAGCAGAAAAGGCAGGUUUAUUAAACCCAAAGCUCCCUGGGCAAUCAGGGAGACACUGAUUAAACUAAAGCAGAAGGUCGGGUGACAGACACCAGGACGAUAACACAGCCAGGCCGAUCAUAGAACGUUCAGAGUGAAAGAAGAGAGGCAGAGAGAGCACGAGAAGUAAAAUGACAGCAAACACAAAGGGAACCCAAAUAUCUUAUCCGGGCAUCUCAACAGUAAGCAAGUGAUACGAAGAAAGGAGAUCCAAACAGGGACCAAAAGGAGGUCUAUUCACAGGCAGGAGGAAUGGCUGAUCUACUGAGUUACUGUCCAUCGGUCGUCACUGUGGAAGGGGAUUCUGUUGGAGUCUCAGCAAAGGAAAAUGUGGGUGAGAUUCUGGAUGGUCCAAACACUGAGAAAGAGCAGGUGGGAGAGAUACAUUAGAUCCUGAAUUCCUGAGGUUAUGGAGAAGAUGGUGGGAAACCAUUCCAUUGGUGCAGGGGUCAAGAACCAGGAGGAAAUGAAGGAAGGUGAUUGGGCAAAAGAACCAGGAGGAAAAACUUUUUGAUGCAGUGAGUGGUCAGACUCUGCAGUCUUAUGUGUGUGUGUGGGUGUGUGUGUGUGAGAGAGUGUGUGUGUGUGUGAGAGUGUGUGUGUGUGAGUGUGUGUGUGUGAGAGUGUGGUGUGUGAGAGUGUGUGUGUGAAUGUGUGUGUGUGAGAGUGUGUGUGUGAGAGUGUGUGUGUGAAUGUGUGUGUGUGAGAGUGUGUGUGUGAGAGUGUGUGUGGGUGAAAGUGUGUGUGUGAGAGUGUGAGUGUGUGGGUGAGUGUGUGGGUGAGUGUGUGUGUAUGUACAGGUGUGGGUGUAUGGGUGUUUGUGCAUACACACAUACAGACACACACCACACACACACACACACACACACAUACACCACAUCCACACAAAGACACAUGCACACACACACCCAUACACAUAGACAUACGCCACAUACACACCACACACAGACAUACAGAUGCACAAGCACACAGACACACAAACACACAUAUACAAACACCAACAUACACAGACACACACAAACACACACACAAUGCUGGAUAUUCUCAACAGGUCAGGCACCAUCUGUGAAAAGAACAAGCUGAAAUGAUCUUUUUGGUCAAUAACCUUCAAUCAGAGGAAGUUGACUAACUUUGGGGAGAACAGGUGGGGGGGGGUUUGGCUUUGCCUGUCUGAGCUGACAGAGAUCGUACAGGUGGAGGCUGCACAGAAAAUCAGCCUCGGCCCUCGUUACUGUGACGGCAACAACCUGCCGGCUGGGGUUAUCCUGGGAACUGCACCUUAAUUUCAGGGCAGCUGGAGUGAAGACUUUCCCCUGCGGUUUGUACCUACCUCAAUGAACUCAGCUCCUUCUCAACGUUAAACAAAUCUCAGGUGGUUAAUGAUCCCUCAACGAGGUGUUGGGUUGAAUGAACACGUCCCACUGAGGGAGGGUCUUGCCCAAGGGUUGACAUCAGUGACUCUCUGAAGUAUGAAUCUCCAGAACCUCCAGGCACUGUGCAGGCACAAGCCCAAUACCCAAUGUACCAGGUGUCAAGAGACAUGGUAAACAUGUCAAGUCCUAAAACAAAUGCAAUGCGAAGCCACCGAACUGGAAAGGGUGCAAAAGACAUUAGUAAACUGGCAUCUAAUUGUCAUUUAACAUUAAAAAGAUUUAUGAGGGUGUUUCCGGGGAUAGAGGGCUUGAGUUAUAAGGAGAGACUGUAGAGCCGCUGCUUACAGCGCCAGAGACCCAGGUUCAAUCCCAACCUCGGGUGCUCUCUGUGUGUGGAGUUUGCACAUUAUCCCUGUGACUGCGUGGGUUUCCCCUGGGUGCUCCGGUUUCCUCCCACAUCUCACGUUGUAGAUGACACCAAAAGUGGGCAGUGAGGAAGAUUGUCCAAGGUCACAACAGGAUCUGGAUCAACUGGGAAAGUGGGCCAAGAAGUAGCAGAUGGAAUUUAACUCAGACAAGUGCAAACUGUUGCACUUUGGGAAGUCAAACCAGAGCAGGACUUAUACAGUGAAUAGCAGAGCCCAGGGGAGUGUAGACAGAGAGAUCAAGGGGUGCAAAUACAUAGUUCCCUGAAAGUGGCAACACAGACAGGGUGGUGAAGAAGGUUUAUGCUUGCCUUCAUUAGCCAUGGCAUCAUGUUACGCAGUUGUACAAACCAUUGGUGAGGCCACACUUGGAGUGUUGUGUGUUGUUCUGGUCACCCAGCUAUAGGAAAGAUGUGAUUAAGCCAGAAAGGGUGCUGUAAGGAUUCACAAGAAUGUUGCCUUGACUGGAGGGCUUGAGUUACAAGGAGAGAUUGGAUAGACUGGGACAAUUUUCCCUGGAGCGUUGGAGGCUGAGGGGAGAGCUGAUAGAAGUUUAUA